GUCUCUUAGAAAUUAUUAAGAGUCAGGCCUGCCCAGUGAUUGCUUUUUAACGGCCGCGGUACCCUGACCGUGCAAAGGUAGCAUAAUCAUUUGCCUUUUAAUUGAAGGCUAGUAUGAACGGUUUGACGAGAGUAAAGCUGUCUCACGUAUACUUAAUAAAAAUUAAUUUAAAGGUGCAAAAGCCUUUAUUUACCAAAAAGACGAGAAGACCCUGUUGAGCUUUAAUUCUAGUUAAGUACCAACUAUAUAUUAAUACAAUCUACUUACUUAACAAAAAUUUUAAUUGGGGCGAUUAAGGAACACCUAGAAGCUUCCUGAUUUAUCACUAAAAAUAUUCUAUAGAUUAAAUCGAUCCAGCAAUGCUGAUCAACAAAAUGAGUUACCACAGGGAUAACAGCAUAAUUCUUUUUGAGAGCUCAUAUCGAAAAAAGAGAUUGUGACCUCGAUGUUGGACUAGGGUAACCGGAAGGUGCAGCCGCUUUCCCGUUUGGUCUGUUCGACCAAUAAUUCCCU
rnacentral:rRNA from 1 species